CCAGCAACCACAAAUACCAUCAACCCCCUCCCAACCAUUAGGAAAACCUAUUUUAAAUAGUCAUCCAACACAGAUAUCAAUCUCUGAUGACCAAAUCCCAAAUCAGCAACCAAUUUCUGCAGAGUUAGUUGCUCCUACCCAUGAGGCAGUGACAUCAGUAAGUGUUGACCCCAAGUUUGCCCACAUGUAUUUCAAACACUGCAGUGCUCACACAGUACACUCCAACACCUUGCUGUGAACAAGCAUCAUAAGAUACUGCAUUCAAACUGUAGAGGCAACACCAAAUAUCAACUCAGAAAUUGGUGAAGGGAGUCGUAAAAAGAGAAAAAGAAGGUCAACUGCAAGACCUGACCUCCACCCGAUGUCUAAACCUUCAUACCUAACCCUAACCUAAAUAAGCCUCUAUCAAUUUUUAUCCCUGUUGAAAGUGAAGAAUGUUCAGAUCUAGAUGCAGGGUACCACUUCUAUAAGUCAGAGGAGCUUAAUUCCCUCCCAAGUGAUGAUGAAGAUAGUUAGUCUGCAGCUUUUCGAUAUGGCAAUGCAAAUGCACCAGUUAAGGAGGUCAGGCUAGAGUUAGCUAUGGAGUUUGAAAAUCUAGACUAAUUCCAGAAAGUAGUGAGAAAGUUCAAUAUCAACUUGGGCCGAAGUAUCUUUUUUCCAAGGAUUAAUUCAACAAGGUGUAAGACAAUCUGCUAUGAUGAGAAUUGUCCAUGGCAGAUUACUAUGCCAAGAGCAUUUUCUGUUUAGUUUUCAGGUGAAGACCUUUGUGAAUGAACAUAUCUACAGUAGAAUGAACAAGAAUAAAUCAAUAGAUGAGAAAUGGGUUGUAGAUGAGCUUGAGAAUAAGAUCCAAGAUCAAGCAAACAUGACAGUAAGGCAAGCUGAGAAUUUCUUCAAAAAGGAAUAUGAUGUAACUGGGAAUGAGCGAAAGAUUUAUUGAGCUACGGGUAAGGCAAAGGAGAGGAUUGAAGGGUCUGAGAUAGCACAGUAUGCAAUUCUGAGGGACUAUGCGAAUGAGAUGUUAAGGACCAAUCCUGGUUCUACUAUCGCUAUCAGCAAUAAUUAUGUGGAAGGAUCUCAUACCCGCUAUAUUAGAAAUGAAUCUUAGAGCACAUAAUAUGUUUUGCGCUAUGCACAUUUGGCAAAAUUUCAGGAAACGAUGGAAGUAUAUGGAGAUGAAGAUGACUAUGUGGAGAUGUGCCAAGGCCUUAAUACCUCAAGACUUCAACUUCGUAAUGGAUAGAUUGGGAAGGGUUAAUCCUCAUGCAUGGGAUUAUUUGAAUAGGAUACCCUCACACUAAUGGAGUAAGUCAAGGUUUAGUGAGUAUCCAAAAUAUGAUAACUACACUAACAAUAUCUGCGAGUCAUUCAACUCUAGAAUCAAGAAGAUGAGGAAAAAGCCUAUAAUAACCAUGUUGGAGGAAAUUAGAUGUUAUGUGAUGAGUAUUAUUGCCACAAAUAAGAAGGCUUUAGUCAAUUAUUGUGGGUUGAUCAUUUCUGUACAGCAAAGUAGGUUGGAAAAAGAAAAAAGGGAAAGCAACAAAUGGAGACCACUACCAACAGGAGAUGACCCUGAAAACAUAUAUGAAAUUCAAUGCUUGUCACACAAGGUUAUGGUGAACUUAGGUAAAAUGACAUGCAAUGGCAGAUUUUAGCAACUAACUGGAUUGCCAUGUAGGCAUGCAUGUGAUGUCCUUGCAUAUCAAAAUAGGAGGCCCAAAGAAUAUGCUCACAACUGGCUUACUAUGGGUGCAUAUCAUAGCGCUUACAAAUUUGUGAUCCAGCCUGUACCUUGUCAGGAGUAUUAGGAGCAUGUGAAUAUGCCUCCAGUACUACUUCUAGUGUAUAAGAAACUAGCAGGAAGACCUAAGUUGACCAGAGACAAAAGGAAUGAUGCUCCCAAAGACUUGGAAUUAGAUCUUUAUAGAGAAAAAUAAAGAUACGGUGCUAUCACCUACAAGUAUUACUUAUAGAGUGGCCACAACAAUUGUAAUUGCACUAAGAAGAAGGAAGCAAUGGCUGCUGCUGCAGGAGGGCAGCCUCUAACUCAACAACCAGGUGCAGAAGACCAACGUGAAGCUGAUUUUGCAGAUGAUGAUGAGGCAGAUAGGAUUCAAGAGAUGUUUUGAGAGAAAAUUUUGGAAGCUGUUGAAGCGACUAAGGUAUCUCCUCCAAUGCUACAACCUACUACCGCUCCAAUUAAUCCUGAUCCAAUUAGGCCUCCAAGGAUGAAUCAGCCAUUUAAGCCACUAGUUGCUAACAAAUUCCAAAAAAAGAGAAAUUUGAAAAGACCACCUCCAAGUACUCAAUAUGUCAACUAAGCACAACCAACUUUUCAACUACCCAUGAAGCCACUAACACCAAAUGCUCAACCACAAUCUACUGUCACAUCUCAAACAAUGCAAGAAAUAUCUCAAGAAAUUACUAGUAGGUUCAUGACUUUCAUGUCAACUCCUACUGUUAGAGGUUCAAAUGCAAUCAAGUGGCCCCAACCAGAAUUUAGAGCACCAGCAAGACAUUGGUCAACCAUUGCAACUAUUAAUGGAGGAUCAAGUGGAAGUAACAACUUCGCACCAAACCCCUGAAGCACCUGCAGUAGCUUUAGGUUGUUUAUGAUAUUGACAAUAAACUUCUUGCUAUUUAUGUGUGGUUCAUUUUUUGUUGAAGGAUUUGUUUCAUGACUAGACUUCUUGCUGUUUAUGUGUGGUUCAACUUUAGACAUCAUAUUAUUUUUUAGUACUUUUGCUUUGGCUUAUCACAUUGAAAAAGAUACGUUACUCUUGCCUCUU